GUAGGUGGCAAGCGUUGUCCGGAAUUAUGGGCGUAAAGCGCGCGCAGGCGGGGUCCUUUUAAGUCUGAUGUGAAAGCCCACGGGCUCAACCGUGGAGGGUCAUUGGAAACUGGGGGACUUGAGUACAGAAGAGGAAAGCGGAAUUCCAAGUGUAGCGGUGAAAUGCGUAGAGAUUUGGAGGAACACCAGUGGCGAAGGCGGCUUUCUGGUCUGUAACUGACGCUGAGGCGCGAAAGCGUGGGGAGCAAACAGGAUUAGAUACCCUGGUAGUCCACGCCGUAAACGAUGAGUGCUAAGUGUUAGGGGGUUUCCGCCCCUUAGUGCUGCAGCUAACGCAUUAAGCACUCCGCCUGGGGAGUACGGCCGCAAAGGCUG
rnacentral:rRNA from 1 species